ACGCGUAAGAACUUGCCUCUUAGACCGGGACAACAUCUGGAAACGGAUGCUAAUACCGGAUAUUAUGGUUUUUUCGCAUGGAGGAAUCAUGAAAGCUAGAUGCGCUAAGAGAGAGCUUUGCGUCCCAUUAGCUCGUUGGUGAGGUAACGGCCCACCAAGGCAAUGAUGGGUAGCCGGCCUGAGAGGGUGAACGGCCACAAGGGGACUGAGACACGGCCCUUACUCCUACGGGAGGCAGCAGUGGGGAAUAUUGGACAAUGGACCACAAGUCUGAUCCAGCAAUUCUGUGUGCACGAUGACGUUUUUCGGAAUGUAAAGUGCUUUCAGUCGGGAAGAAGUCAGUGACGGUACCGACAGAAGAAGCGACGGCUAAAUACGUGCCAGCAGCCGCGGUAAUACGUAUGUCGCAAGCGUUAUCCGGAUUUAUUGGGCGUAAAGCGCGUCUAGGCGGCAAGGAAAGUCUGAUGUGAAAAUGCGGAGCUCAACUCCGUAUGGCGUUGGAAACUGCCUUACUAGAGUACUGGAGAGGUAGGCGGAACUACAAGUGUAGAGGUGAAAUUCGUAGAUAUUUGUAGGAAUGCCGAUGGGGAAGCCAGCCUACUGGACAGAUACUGACGCUAAAGCGCGAAAGCGUGGGUAGCAAACAGGAUUAGAUACCCUGGUAGUCCACGCUGUAAACGAUGAUUACUAGGUGUUGGGGGUCAAACCUCAGCGCCCAAGCUAACGCGAUAAGUAAUCCGCCUGGGGAGUACGUACGGCAGUAUGAAACUCAAAGGAAUUGACGGGGACCCGCACAAGCGGUGGAGCAUGUGGUUUAAUUCGACGCAACGCGA
rnacentral:rRNA from 1 species